rnacentral:lncRNA from 1 species
UAAAAGAACUGCAGGGAAAAAAAUGGAGAAGAGACUGAGGGAAAGGAGGUCCAGUGACUGGCCCGACUUGAGGUCCAUCUGACAGGAGGCUCCAAGGCCUGACACUAUUAUUGAUGCUAUGGUGUGCUUACAGACAGGUACCUAGUAUGGCUACCCUCUGAGAGGCCCAACAAGCAGCUGACUAGGACAGAAGCAGAUACUUACAAGACUCAACCAGUGAUCUAAAGUUGGGGAUACCUGUGGUUGAAUUAAGGAAAGGCUGGACAAAGUUGAGGAGGAGAGUGACCCCAUAGGAAGACCAUCAGUUUCAACUAACCUGGACCUCCACGAUCUCUCAAACACUGAGCCACCAAGCCAGGCAACAGAUACUAGCUGGUCCAAGGCCCCCAACACAUAUACAGCAGAAGACUGCCUGGUCUGGCUUCAAUGAGACAAGAUGUACCUAACCCUUGAGAGACUUGAGGCCCCAGGGAAUGGGGAGGCCUGACAGGGUGUGUUUUGAUGUGUAGGAGGUGGAAACAUCCUCUUGGAGUCAUGGGAGUAGGAAUGGGAUGAGGAACUGUCACUGUCGGAGUGUGGACUGGGAGGGGAAUAACAAGUGAACUGUAAAAAAAACGAGUGAUGAUGAAGAUGAUGGUGGUGAUGAUGGAAAAAGAAAAAUACUGUUAAAUAAAAAUACUAUAUAUGAAGGAGAAUUAUUUAGCUGAAUCUCUAUCAUGUGAUUGUGGAGCAGAUGCUGUCUCAGUAAAUCUUAUCUCUCUGACUGCCAGAAGUCCUAUUUACCUGGUUUUGCCGGUAUUACCUACCAAGUACUAACACCCAUAUCUUUCUCUAGAGAACUCCCUGCUCCAGUUGAUGGGAGUCAUGGUCUUGGGAAUCCCUCAGAAGAAAGGCUGGGACAUAAGGAGAGCAAUGAGGAAGAAAUGACAUAAUCUUCACAUUAUUGAGACGUCAAAAGCUUCCUCUAGUCAAGUAUGAUUUUGAUUUUUAUUGAAGAGUACAUUUUCUGUGCAUGGCAAAGUGUCUUUUUUAUGGAGCAGUUGGUGACGGGCAGCCAGAGAAAACGGCACAUGCAAGACAGAGUUGGCAAUGAGCGGCUGAAGUGAGAAAUGGCGCAUGCGUAUUUGGAGUGGCCAGCAGGCUUUACAAUCUGUUGCGCUGGAAUUUUAGGGACUUACCACAGACAGUGUUUGUUAUUGCAGAGAGUUUUGUUUCCCAGGAGGAAGGAAGAUUAACCAAAAGAAAUACAACAGUAAAAAGUACACAGAUGAUACAGCAAAACAAAAUCCUGGACUAUAAACCACAAAUGGCCCAACGGAUUUGCCUGGGAAUAGCUGGAGCGAGGAAGACUAGCAAACAUGCUUAGUUUUGGGGAUCUUCAGAUGGAGAUACUUCGAGCCAUCCCACUAAUAGGAUUACUCUAGACACGUUCAGAGGCAUGGUGACAAGAUCGGCCAUCCAGGAAUGGUUGAGAAGGUGCCUGCUAUUUCCAGUAUAGUGUCCGUUCAGGAGGAUUUCAACAUCACCCGA